rnacentral:rRNA from 1 species
CAGCUGGGCAGCUAAGUGCGGAUCGGAUAAACGCUGAAAGCAUCUAAGCGUGAAGCCGGCCACAAGAUAAGAUAUCCCAUUGAGAAAUCAAGUAAGGACCCCGGAAGACUACCGGGUAGAUAGGCUGCGUGUGUAAGAGUGGUGACACUUUGAGCUAGGCAGUACUAAUCGUCCGAGGGCUUGACCUU